rnacentral:rRNA from 1 species
UACGUAGGGAGCAAGCGUUGUCCGGAAUCAUUGGGCGUAAAGCGCGCGUAGGUGGCCUCAUAAGUCCGCUGUGAAAGUCAAAGGCUCAACCUUUGAAAGCCGGUGGAUACUGUGAGACUAGAGUACGGAAGAGGCGAGUGGAAUUCCUGGUGUAGCGGUGGAAUGCGCAGAUAUCAGGAGGAACACCAAUGGCGAAGGCAGCUCGCUGGGACGGUACUGACGCUGAGACGCGAAAGCGUGGGGAGCAAACAGG